rnacentral:misc_RNA from 1 species
CUAAACUAACUUAAACUAAAGUAAUAAUAAUAAACCUAAUAGAAUUUUAUAAAUGAUAAAUUCUAAACCUACUAUAAUUCUAAACCUGAAAAAUACAAACUUCCUAAUUUUACAGUGAAUAUAAUCCCCAAGUAUCCUAAGUUGAAUCAAAUUCCAACACUGCAUUAUUCUCCUCUGGUUGGAAAAAACUUGACCUCGAGUCUUGUAG